CUGCUUGGGCUUGUACUCAACUUGAAUUAUGGGCCUGGGCUCUGUCCGCGCCUACCAAAGAUCUCUAGUAUGCCACGGUCAGCCCAACCUAUCAAACUUUCUCCAUUGACAUGGAGGAGUAACCUUUUCUCCUGUUGCACAUUUUGUGUAAUUUGACUAAGUUUUCCAUAAGUUUAUUUGUGAUUUCCUAUAAUUGACAGGACAAAAGCAAGGUUUUGUUAUCGAUUCUUUGAAUUGAAUUGUUCUAAUCAUUUAUAUUUAGUAUCAGAAGUUGAUUUUCUCAUCUUCUGCAAAAAAUCUAAAGCAUUGACUUUAUUGUUAUAUCAAAUUCUUUUAAGCAUAUUUUUGCCCUAUUGCCUUGUUUUUGUCUUCAGCCUCAAGUGUACAGUAAGUGUCACAAAGAAAAAGGGAGAAUCUGUCUUAGAGUGGAAGUCCUACAUUUCUAGCGAAAAUAAGCUGACUUAUUUUUGGAAUUCAGAAUGAAUUGUCUGGGUGAUGAACUAUCUUUACUUCGAUAUUACAUGAUUUAAUUUAUUGGGAGAUGAUCAAAGAGGAAGAAUUUCUUUUACCAAACAAUGUCAUAUUCAUUAAGAACAUAUGUUAGGGGAAGUGCUUGGGAGUUUUCUUGACUGAUCCUCCUACGAUUGGCAACCUUAACAGGCGAAAAAAUAUUUUGGAUUUAGGCUCCUUGAAAGACACAGCAAAGUUCUUUGUUCCAGGUAAAUGUAAUUUUUUUUUUGUUUUACUCCAAGUAUCUUUUUCACAACAAGCACACUUCAAUUUUAUGACUGUGCAGUGUUGAAUAUCGAUACCAAUAUUAGUGUCCUUGUUACCUAGUCGAAACCCUUCUCUGUGAUGAUAUUGAACAAUAUGUUGACCCUGCACUAUGUGAUAUCAACAUCUAUGUGGGAACAAAAAAGUCUUGACCAUGUUAUAUUGUCAUUGUAGGUGGGGGCAACAUUAUACUCCGCAUGUUCAAUAAAAAUCAGGGAAGAUGAAGGUUUCAGGAAUUGUUACUUCUAUGAGUUUAGCAUUGAUGAACAUAUGGUUGCUCAAAAUUUCUUCUUUCAAAUCAUUGCUUGUAAGCCUGUGCU